rnacentral:rRNA from 1 species
UACGAAGGAUGCAAGCGUUAUCCGGAUUCAUUGGGUUUAAAGGGCGCGUAGGUGGCCUUAUAAGUCAGUGGUGAAAUCUCGCAGCUUAACUGUGAAAUUGCCAUUGAUACUGUAGGGCUUGAGUACAGAUGCCGUUGGCGGAAUAUGACAUGUAGUGGUGAAAUACAUAGAGAUGUCAUAGAACACCGAUUGCGAAGGCAGCUGACGAAACUGUAACUGACACUGAGGCUCGAAAGUGCGGGGAUCAAACAGG